UUUCAGUAGAGAUGGGAUUUCACCAUGUUGGCCAGGCUGGUCUCGAACUCCGGUCCUCAAGUAAUCUGCCUGCCUUGGGCUCCCAAAGUGCUGGGAUUAUAAGGCAUGAGCCACCACGCCCAGCCAACACCCAAUUUAUUUAUUUAUUUAUUUAUUUUUUUGAGACGGAGUCUCGCUCUGUUUCCCAGGCUGGAAUGCAGUGGCUAGAUCUUGGCUCACUGCAACCUCUGCCUCCCGGGUUCAAGCAAUUCUUGUGCCUCAGCCUCCCGAGUAGCUGGGACUACAGGUGUGUGCCAGUAUGGCCGGUUAAUUUUUGUAUUUUUGGUAGAGAUGGGGUUUCACCAUGUUGGCCAGGCUUGUCUUGAACUCUUGACCUCAGGUGAUCCGCCUGCCUCGGCCUCCCAAAGUGCUGGGAUUGUAGGCAUGAGCCACCAUGCCUGGCCUAACACCCAAAAUUUUUACUGGGAGCUGGUCACUUAGUACCGUCUGCUUAGCACAUACCAGAAUUCCAAACCCUGCGAAGCAAAGCCUGUGUUCAGCAUAAACCACGUUGUUUGCAUAGUCUAUGCACAGGGAGCCACCCAUAUCAGCUAACUGUUGACUGGGAGCGAAGUUGGCCAAGGGUCAACAUUGCAAGGAGACCUUUCUAUGGAUAGUAGUCUCUCAGGCCUUCAGUGUUAACUCUUUUCUGCACAGGGUGAAAAAAGAAAUGACACUCCCUGCUCCAGAAUCAGAUCAUAGUUAUUCUAUGGUACUGGAUAUGGAGGUUGUGGUUGAUGAUUCAGGGAUCUUCAUUUUUGCUGUUUUUCUUUUCCAGAAUGGCUUUGACUACUUACUGACAUACAGUGACAAUCCCCAAACGGUGUUUCCUCGCUACUGUGUUAGUUGGAUGGUUUCCAGUGGCAUGCCAGAUUUCCUGGAGAAGCUGCACAUGGCCACUCUGAAAGCCAAGAAUAUGGAGAUUAAAGUAAAGGACUACAUCUCAGCUAAGCCUCUGGAAAUGAGUAGUGAAGCCAAGGCCACCAGCCAGUCCUCUGAGCGAAAGAACGAGGGCAGCUGUGGCCCUGCUCGGAUUGAGUAUGCUUGACAGGCUUUGGGAUAAGAAGGGACAGGUGCUUCUAGCCCUGUCUCAGUCUGUUAUCACUCUGCUGUAGAAGGGGGACAUGCCACAUGUAUUAGAAGGCAUCUGCUGUAACUUCCAGUGCAAGAUAAUUCAAUAACUGAUGUCCCAUUUCAUUCAGAGCCCUUAUUGCUCUUAUCAAAACAGAAGAAGGCUACAUUUGUGGGAGUGUUGUCAUAUUCUCAGGCCAACUAUUUUGAAAUUCGGUAUCUCACUGAGCUAAUCUGGAACAAACCUCUCACCUCAGGCCAGAAGGGGAUGACCUCCAUUUGCUUCUCUGAGUAGUUUCCUCUGCUGACAUUCCAAAUCCCACCAUCGAUUGUGCAGCGCUUUGGAUUUCCUUCAGUUCUCCAGGUCCACCUGGAAAGUAUAGUUGGCCAGUUGAGUCUCUCAAAUGAGGGGCUACUGGGAGUGCUCUUGGUAACAAUCAUGAUGUGAAUGGGUGUGAACGAUACUUGGCUAUGUUAAGUGCCUUGUCCGCACCUUGCUUUUAUCUCUAGGGACAUGAAGUUAUUAUUAAUUUUUUUUUUUUUUUUUAAGUAGAGAUGGAGUUUCACUCUGUUUCCCAGGCUGGUCUUGAACUCCUGGGCCAUGCCUGGCCAGGGACAUGAAUUUGUACAAAGAAAUUUCCCUCCCUGCCUGCACAAUAUCACCCAUUGAUUCACCUUAUCCAAAGCAAGUUUCCUGUGAAUCGGCCAGUUCUUCUAUAUUCAUUGGAUCAUUGCCUCCUUCCUAACCUUCCCCAUUUACCAAGAACACUGGGAGACUAAUCCUUUUAGAUAGUAGCUUUUUGAUGCUCAAAACAUCACAUUUAAAUUUAGUUUAAACAUUUUUUAACUUUUGUGUCAAAUAGGAGUUGAGGAAUUGAGCAGGAUUCUACCCUAGUCCGAUUGUAUAGAAAACACCAUUUUGAUUCAGGUAUUAUUUUUCAUAUUUCAGGUUUGACUUGUUCUUUCAGAAGGCUAAAGGCAGAGGAAUGGGGGCUGGGCCACUCCCUUGGAGCUCUCAGAUCUACAGACAAGCUGUGUGAAUGCAUAGAUGUAAUCUUGUCUCAAAUACUAAUACAGUGGAGAUUUGGUUUAUGUUACCAUUAAGUUCCUCUCAAAAGUUUUUCUUCCUCUCUUCAGAGCCAAAAUAAAAGUGAACUACACUGUUCAGAUAAGGUCACAAUCUGAUGCUGUCAGUUUGACCGAGCUGGUUUUGCUUAUGGUCAUGCUGCAAUUUGUUAGAAUAAUAGGGAUCAAGUUUUAAAUCCUCCUCCUUCCCUUUUUUCUGGAGUCUUGAGGGCCAGAGUUUUUGUUUUUGUUUUUUUUUUUUUUUUCCUGCUUGCUACUGUUUUGUGGUGUUGAAAAGUGGUUUAAACCUGAGACUAACUUAAACACUUCCUUGACCUUCUUGUUGCCUGUUCAUUUUUGUGCCAAGGAAGUAGCUGCCCCAGUGUAUGUCUUGCCUUCUCCGCGUCAUUGUUGGAAGAGGAGAGAUGCAUCGAGCAGUCCCAGCUGCUUUUCAUUUAUUACUUCUCUCUUCUUUCCAGGACCUGACAGAAGUCAGGGAAGAGUCCCUGGGUUAUGUCCAAACUUAGCACCUGCAAUUGUUGGGAUGUGGAUGGAUGUGUGCAUAAGAGAGAGAGAGAAUAUGUGUGUGUGUGUGUGUGUGUCUGCGAGCGCACACACAUGCACAAGUGCGAAGGAGUUGCGGUUGCUCCAUGUUCUGACUUAGGGCAAUUUGAUUCUGCACUUGGGGUCUGUCUGUACAGUUACUCAUGUCAUUGUAAUGAUUUCACUCCUAACUGUGACAUUUUUAUCAAAUGUGUGAAUAAAUACAUAAAGAUUGGUAC
rnacentral:sRNA from 1 species